rnacentral:rRNA from 1 species
AGUAACGCGUGAGGAACCUGCCUCAGAGAGGGGGAUAACACACCGAAAGGUGUGCUAAUACCGCAUAACAUAUGAGAGGGGCAUCCCUUUCAUAUCAAAGAUUUAUUGCUCUGAGAUGGCCUCGCGUCCAAUUAGCUAGUUGGUGAGGUAACGGCCCACCAAGGCGACGAUUGGUAGCCGGACUGAGAGGUUGAACGGCCACAUUGGGACUGAGACACGGCCCAGACUCCUACGGGAGGCAGCAG